rnacentral:rRNA from 1 species
AGCAGCCGCGGUAAUUCCAGCUCCAAUAGCGUAUAUUAAAGUUGUUGUGGUUAAAAAGCUCGUAGUUGAACCUUGGGCCUGGCUGGCCGGUCCGCCUCACCGCGUGCACUGGCUCGGCUGGGUCUUUCCUUCUGGAGAACCGCAUGCCCUUCACUGGGUGUGCCGGGGAACCAGGACUUUUACUCUGAACAAAUUAGAUCGCUUAAAGAAGGCCUAUGCUCGAAUACAUUAGCAUGGAAUAAUAGAAUAGGACGUGUGGUUCUAUUUUGUUGGUUUCUAGGACCGCCGUAAUGAUUAAUAGGGACAGUCGGGGGCAUCAGUAUUCAAUUGUCAGAGGUGAUAUUCUUGGAUUUAUUGAAGACUGACUACUGCGAAAGCAUUUGCCAAGGAUGUUUUCAUUAAUCAAGAACGAAAGUUAGGGGAUCGAAGACGAUCAGAUACCGUCGUAGUCUUAACCAUAAACUAUGCCGACUAGGGAUCGGAUGAUGUUAAUUUUUUAAUGACUCA